AGCUUCGUGAAAUGUUUUCAAGUUUUUGUACAAAAUAAAUCAGCUGAUGAGGUCAGCUGGGAACCUCUCAGAUUUGACUCAUAGACAAACACGUUUUAUUAAACCAAACAUCAAUCACUGUUUACUUAAUGAUGUCGAACAGUAGCAGGUAAAUGUGGAGCCAGUUACAGAUCUGCAGGUGACGCUUUAAUGUUGUUGCUGCUUUGUUUUCAUUUAACCCACAAACCGUCAGACAGCCACGAUCGUUCUGUAUUUCCAGAGAAAAUGAGUCAUUGUGAGCUUUUACCACAUGAUUCUGGGUGAUAUGACGCGCACAUGAAUGCAGAUGUUUUCUCCUGAGCCUUAUUUUUUAAAUCCCUGCAUUAAUAUUUUCUUUGGACUUGACUGUGCCAGAGUGCACGUGUACGCGUUCAGUGCUGUCCAGCAGAGGGCAGCAGAGGCCCACCCACAGGGAGGAAACAUAGUUUCAAAUUUGAAAAUACAAUCGACGGCUGCUUUUCCAGCUGCUUCAGUCCAGCGGGUGGUGAUAAAGCCGAAGACUGUAGUGCAAAGAUGAUGGAUGUGAAGCAUGAGAGGAGAGCGUGAGGAGGAGCUGCUGGCAGCGUUCUGCUGUAAAACCGUGAGCACAGCACCAUCCCCCUGACCUGCACACACCGCUGCUGCUAACCCCCAGAAUAAACUGUAAGGUUUGUGUGUGACUGUGUGCAGGGUGGAGGGAGCGGUGGUGCAGAAGGAGUCAGAUUGAGCUGACUGACCAAGGACAGCUGUGGAUGAAGAAUGAA